rnacentral:snRNA from 1 species
GUGCUCCCUUAGCAGCACAUAUACUAAAAUUGGAACUAUAUGGAGAAGAUUAGCAUGGCUCCUCUGCAAAUAUUACAUGCACAUUUGCAAAGCAUUCUGUAUUUAA